GACGCCCGCCGCACUGCGCCUGCGUGAAGGGCGCGCCAGCCGGCCGUUUGUGAGUGAGGAGCCCUCCGGACCCACGCCAACUGUACCGUGCGGUGUCUCGAGAGGAAGCAAGGAAGCGAGGGAGUUAGGAAGGCGUGUCUUCUAUCCCCGCGGCUUCCCGCGCGGCGCUCCACGAUGACGUAGAAGGGCGGGCUGGUGGCUGGGCCUAGAGCGAGGUUGACACUGGACGAUGGCUGGUGGCAGCUAAAAUGGGAAUGGUGAUGAUAAAUGCUGGGGCCAGAGAGAUAAGCGGUCUGGCAGCAUCGCUGACUAACAAACAGAUUGACAGCCUCACCACCCAGUAGCUGUGCCCUUUGAUCUUGAAGACGCCAGUUCCUGCCUCAUCUUCCCUUCUCUUCUGACCUGAACAUGCCUUUUGUCUCAGCGCAAGAAGGUGUUAGUGAACUAAAGCCACUGGACCCUCCCAGCCCAUCACCCCACUGUUGCUGUGGGGAGCAGCUGGGUAGUACAGAGGCUGAGCACAUACUCUGCAGUCCUGCAUUCCAGGGGCCAGGCACGGCCCCUUGCCACCAGCUGUGUGGCCUCCAGAGAGCAACUUAACCAGUCUGUCUUAGGAUGUCACCUGACUCAGAGUAUACUCCUAUGGCUGCCGGCCAAGCUGCAGGCCAUGGGGCUGCAGGCCAAGAGAUAAGAGAUGACUGACAGGAAGACCCAUGGACGACCCCACACCCUAGAGCUGGCCUGUGACCUUGCCAGCUAUCCUUCUAGCCCCACCCUUCCUCUUUCCUGAAUGUGUCUUUUGUCCCUUGGAAGAGGGUCCCAAACUUACACCAUCUGAAAUUCUGCAUAUGCUUUGCGAUUUCGAGUCUGAAUACCAUCCUUCCGCAUGGUCAGCGGUCGGUUCACCUGCCAAAAGGGAUGCAAUGGGUGUUUCCCAAUUCCAAACCUUGACCUCUCUGUGUCUUGACCAGGGAUACCCUUUCCACCACACUUCUUUAAGAACAUGGAAUUGGUUCAAGGACUAUGGGAAUGUGCCAUGGUGCAGUGUGGCACAGAUGUCCCAAGGAACCCUGAGGCUGGGACUACAUCAGUGGUUCUCAACUGUGGCCACAUAUCAGAAUCAUUGGCAGCGUGGCAGUCCAAUUAAGUUAGCACAUCUGGGGGAAGGGACCCAGGAUGAUUCCAAUGUGAAACCAAGGAUGAAACACUGCUGUGGAGGGUAAGGACAAAGGUUAUCAUGACAGCUACUGGCCACUUGGUGACUCCUGGAUCCUGAGCCCCCACUGACCAUUAUGGCAUCUGCAAUAACUUCCAGCCAUUUCUAAGUGGGCUUUGAGGAUGACUGUUGGGAUUUGGAGCCCCAUGGGUCACUUGACAACUAGGGCAACCACCACAUACUUCCAAUGUUGCUUCUCAAUAUGGCUACUUGAAUAUGGCAGGUUGAGGAGCAAGGGAAUUCCCAGGUCUGCACUUAACUAGGGAAAGUGGUCAGCACAUCCAUAUGAAAAGCUUCUGGCCAUUUCCAAGAGGACCUCCUAGUGGGAUUCUGACCUACCUAAGGAUCUCCAUGGCAGCCCCAACAGCAUCCAGCCAGCGCCAAGACAGCCACCCAAUGGAGUUACCUGGGGAGUGUCUGUAGGCCUCAGCGUCCCUGUAGUAGGCCAAUGCAGCAGCUGUAGCAGUGGCUGUGCCCGGAGUGGUGGAAGAGGAUGCUGC